rnacentral:rRNA from 1 species
AUUGAACGCUGGCGGCAUGCUUUACACAUGCAAGUCGAACGGUAACAGGCCUUCGGGUGCUGACGAGUGGCGAACGGGUGAGUAAUGCAUCGGAACGUACCCAGAGGUGGGGGAUAACGCAGCGAAAGCUGUGCUAAUACCGCAUGUGAUCUGAGGAUGAAAGCGGGGGACCGAGCAGCAAUGUUUGGCCUCGCGCCUUUGGAGCGGCCGAUGUCGGAUUAGCUAGUUGGUGGGGUAAAGGCCUACCAAGGCGACGAUCCGUAGCUGGUCUGAGAGGACGACCAGCCACACUGGGACUGAGACACGGCCCAGACUCCUACGGGAGGCAGCAGUGGGGAAUUUUGGACAAUGGGCGCAAGCCUGAUCCAGCAAUGCCGCGUGCGGGAAGAAGGCCUUCGGGUUGUAAACCGCUUUUGGCAGGAACGAAACGGUGUCCGCUAAUACCGGGCGCUAAUGACGGUACCUGCAGAAUAAGCACCGGCUAACUACGUGC